UCCUGGCUCAGGAUGAACGCUAGCUACAGGCUAACACAUGCAAGUCGAGGGGCAGCAUGACCUAGCAAUAGGUUGAUGGCGACCGGCGCACGGGUGAGUAACACGUAUCCAACCUACCGGUUAUUCCGGGAUAGCCUUUCGAAAGAAAGAUUAAUACCGGAUAGCAUAGCGAGAAGGCAUCUUCUUGUUAUUAAAGAAUUUCGAUGACCGAUGGGGAUGCGUUCCAUUAGUUUGUUGGCGGGUAACGGCCCACCAAGACAUCGAUGGAUAGGGGUUCUGAGAGGAAGGUCCCCCACAUUGGAACUGAGACACGGUCCAAACUCCUACGGGAGGCAGCAGUGAGGAACAUUGGUCAAUGGACGAGAGUCUGAACCAGCCAAGUAGCGUGAAGGAUGACUGCCCUAUGGGUUGUAAACUUCUUUUAUAUGGGAAUAAAGUGAGCCACGUGUGGCUUUUUGUAUGUACCAUACGAAUAAGGAUCGGCUAACUCCGUGCCAGCCGCGGC
rnacentral:rRNA from 1 species